rnacentral:rRNA from 1 species
UACGUAGGGUGCAAGCGUUGUCCGGAAUUAUUGGGCGUAAAGAGCGUGUAGGCGGCCCGACCAGUCCGCUGUGAAAGUCCAGGGCUCAACCCUGGAAUGCCGGUGGAUACUGUCGGGCUAGAGUCCGGAAGGGGCGAGUGGAAUUCCUGGUGUAGCGGUGAAUGACGCAGAUAUCAGGAGGAACACCAAUGGCGAAGGCAGCUCGCUGGGACGUGACUGACGCUGAGACGCGAAAGCGUGGGGAGCAAACAGG